GACGAACGCUGGCGGCGUGCUUAACACAUGCAAGUCGAACGGAAAGGCCCUGCUUGCAGGGUACUCGAGUGGCGAACGGGUGAGUAACACGUGGGUGAUCUGCCCUGCACUUCUGGAUAAGCCUGGGAAACUGGGUCUAAUACCGGAUAUGAGCCAUUUUUAGUGUGAUGGUUGGAAAGUUUUUUCGGUGUAGGAUGAGCUCGCGGCCUAUCAGCUUGUUGGUGGGGUAAUGGCCUACCAAGGCGGCGACGGGUAGCCGGCCUGAGAGGGUGGACGGCCACAUUGGGACUGAGAUACGGCCCAGACUCCUACGGGAGGCAGCAGUGGGGAAUAUUGCACAAUGGGCGCAAGCCUGAUGCAGCGACGCCGCGUGGGGGAUGACGGCCUUCGGGUUGUAAACUCCUUUCGCUAGGGACGAAGCUUUUGUGACGGUACCUAGAUAAGAAGCACCGGCUAACUACGUG
rnacentral:rRNA from 1 species